rnacentral:rRNA from 1 species
AGUGAACGCUGGCGGCAGGCCUAACACAUGCAAGUCGAGCGGCAGCGCGUCCGACCACCCUCGGGUGGUCGGAUGGCGGCGAGCGGCGGACGGGUGAGGAAUGCAUCGGAAUCUGCCUCGUUGUGGGGGAUAACGUAGGGAAACUUACGCUAAUACCGCAUACGACCUACGGGUGAAAGUGGGGGACCUUCGGGCCUCACGCGAUGAGAUGAGCCGAUGCCGGAUUAGCUAGUUGGCGGGGUAAAGGCCCACCAAGGCGACGAUCCGUAGCUGGUCUGAGAGGAUGAUCAGCCACACUGGAACUGAGACACGGUCCAGACUCCUACGGGAGGCAGCAGUGGGGAAUAUUGGACAAUGGGGGCAUCCCUGAUCCAGCCAUGCCGCGUGUGUGAAGAAGGCCU